rnacentral:rRNA from 1 species
GACGAACGCUGGCGGCGUGCUUAACACAUGCAAGUCGAACGGUAAGGUCUCUUCGGAGAUACACGAGUGGCGCACGGGUGCGUAACGCGUAUGCAACCUACCUUUAACUGGGAAAUAGCCCCGAGAAAUCGGGAUUAAUGUCCCAUAUUAUUCUGAGAAUGCAUAUUCUUAGAAUGAAAGCUCCGGCGGUUAUUGAUGGGCAUGCGUGACAUUAGCUAGUUGGUGAGGUAACGGCCCACCAAGGCUACGAUGUCUAGGGGUCCUGAGAGGGUUAACCCCCACACUGGUACUGAGACACGGACCAGACUCCUACGGGAGGCAG